AAAAAAAAAAAAUCGCUCUGCUCCGAUACUUUGCUCUGCUCUAGUGUCGUUCGAAGAUACUCCGACCAUUCGUCUCUUGUCGUUCGUUGAUCCUCUAGUGCAUUUCGUCGCUCCUUCUUUUCAAACCAUUCAAUCAACUUUGAGCGUUUUCUCUUAUUUCGCAUAUGCGGAGGCCGUCUACCUAAUUGUAAAUCAGUCAGCUUGGAAGACAAGCGAAGACUAUCUACAUAUGAUUGUUUUACCUCCGAAAGUAGUCAAAAGAGUUGAAGUAAAGAAAUAGGUCACAACAGAUUAACGUGUACUAAUACAAUUUCAUAUACCGAGAAGUCCAGCAUACAAAUUUAAAAAUUUCUCUACCAAUGUACUAAUUAUUACACUAAUUAAUGAAUGUUCCUUUUCUUUCAA